rnacentral:rRNA from 1 species
UACGUAGGGACCAAGCGUUGUUCGGAUUUACUGGGCGUAAAGGGCGCGUAGGCGGCGCAAUAAGUCACUUGUGAAAUCUCCGGGCUUAACUCGGAGCGGCCAAGUGAUACUGUUGUGCUAGAGUGCAGAAAGGGCAAUCGGAAUUCUCGGUGUAGCGGUGAAAUGCGUAGAUAUCGAGAGGAACACCUGAGGCGAAGGCGGGUUGCUAGGCUGACACUGACGCUGAGGCGCGAAAGCUAGGGUAGCGAACGGG